GCCCCGCGACGUCCCCGAGACGUCGGGCUGUCUGCACGUGCAAACGCUGCAUCCCCUCACGUGUCCCAGCCGCACAGCAGGGUUAUUCUGAUUCAACAGGCCUGAGGGAGUAUAACUUUUCAGGGAACAGGAGCUCUGGCAGACGUAAGCCUGGGGCCCCAGGGGCUGCGGUCACCCCGAACGCAUUCGCCAUUUAAAGAUCAGUCUGAGGCACAGGGCAGGCAGAGGCACAGCCAGCCCACUCGAGCCCCAGCAGCAGCUGCCCGGACAAAAGAAAAUGUUCCUCGAGACAGCUAACUUUGUGGCGAACUACCUUCUCUCUCGGAGGCCAAGGGCCCUGACACCCUACAGAGCUGACCUGGAGAUGCCAUUUGUCAGCAGCAAAAGCAGGAUUGUCCUGCACCCUCUUUACUCCAGCCACCGGGGCCUGAAGGAUUAUUGGGUCAGCCCACAGAGGCGGUACCCAGCUGGCAGCACGUGGCGCACCCCCAGCCAGCGACUGCUCAUCCUCCCAGGGAACACUGGUGUGUCCGAGGUGGAGUCCGUCCACUGGCCGAGCUGCUGCCAGUACAAGCACAAGCUGGUAUGGAAAAACCGUUGGCAGCAUCUCGACUAUUAUUACCUGGGCAAGAGAGCUCGCCAUUUCCGGGUCUCAACCAUUCACCUGUGAGGGGAUCACCCAUCCCACCAGUCUUGGUAAGUGGAGAAGUCCCUGAAGUGUUGGGCAUUAGG
rnacentral:lncRNA from 1 species